UUCUUCAACAACUGCAGCCACCUCGGUAGCUCGCUGGACAACAAAGUCGGAACAUUCAAGUUAUUUAGGCAAUUUCGUGGUUUAUUUGCCACUAUGAGUUAAAUAUACUUAUGUGGAAACAACUAGAUACCCCAUUUAAUGUAAUAUUUACGUUGUAAGUCAACUAGCUGGCUGGUUAAGUUAGCACUAGUUUCGUCGCUAAUGCUAAGUAGCUAACAUCCCCGACCAUGAGUUCACUAAGCUACUCUCCUCCUGCUAUAGAAGAGGGGGUCUGCUGGACGGAGAAAGAAACUCUCGUGAAAGAGGAGGAGGAAGAGGAGUCUGUUACAAUACAAAAACAAGUAGAGGGUGAGGCUGUUGCCGUGAAAGAAGAGAAAGACGUUUCAAUGAAAGAAGAGGAAGACUCCUUCAGAGUGAAAGAGGAGGAUGUUACUGUGAAAGAAGAGGAAGAAGAUGCAGUUUUUGGAGUGGAGGAUGAAGAGGGGGAGAUUACUGUCACAUUAGAGGAGGACGAAGAAGAGAAGACUGGAGAACUGAUUAACACCAGUAAAUACAGAGAGAGAUUGGACAAUCGUGGAUCCUCUGGGGAGCCUCAACAACAUCAUGACGCUGACGAGGCAAAGACAAGUCUCUCCGGAUCAGAACUCCCCAAGAAACACCAGCGGAGACGCACAAGGAAGAAAUCUAUCUGCUGCUCUGACUGUGGGAAAAGAUUGAACUCUUCAUCGGACCUUAAAAUACAUCAAAGAAUUCACACAGGAGAGAAACCUUACGGCUGUGAACAAUGUGGGAAGAGUUUUACUCAGCGAUGCAACCUGAUAGUACACCAGCGGGGACAUACAGGAGAGAAACCUUUUAGCUGUGCUCAAUGUGGGAAGAGUUUUACUACAUCUAGUUAUCUAACUAUACACCAGAGAAUACACACAGGAGAGAAACCUUAUAGCUGUGCUCAAUGUGGGAAGAGUUUUACUCAGCAAAGCAGCCUAAUAGUACACCAGCGGACACACACAGGAGAGAAACCUUGUGGCUGUGAUCAAUGUGGGAAGAGAUACUCUGUUAAAAGAUCUCUGAUUAAACAUCAGAAAAUACAUGGAGUUGUUUCAUGAUAUCAAUAAAAUAAUGUCAAAAUGUAGAA